rnacentral:lncRNA from 1 species
AUAAAGGCAUCCAUUGAGUUAAGCAUCCUUGCCCACUCUGACAGGUUGCUAGUUGUGUGAGCAGUUGCAUGACUGUUCUGACAUUCAGUAUGAGAAUGGGUACAUUGCAGGGAGCCUUCCACUCAGCAUUUAGGCAACAGGAUAUCACCCAUCUUUUUUCAAAGUUGUAUCACUGAGUACAGCUGUCUGCUUCCUUGCCCUUCUGAUGUCACAAAUAACUGGCAACUGACUGCAAUCCUUCCAUUGGCUUUACACUUCCAAAAGUCCUGGCAAUCUCCUUGACAAGGAGACCCAGUAUGCCACAGAAAAUCCAGCUGCUUGGAAUUCAGAAGAUAAAGUUUUCGAAGUGGGGAAUGAAAUAAAUGCUGCUGUCUUGACAAAGACAAGAUGGCUUACAGAAUUUUUCUCUGUUUCAACAGUGGAAAACAUAGAAGCUAAUGAUGAAGAACCAGGUCCAGAUCUCCCAAGUACAUCUGCAAUAAAUGAGAGUAGCAUGUCAAAUCAAGAUAUUGAAAGUGAUGGAUCAUCACAUCCUACAGAU